GGUUGUCUCACCUUAAACUUCAAUCUAGAUUUAUUUUCAUGUCCCUGGGAUGUUCAGGAUUUUGUGAUAUCAGUGCAGAGACAAGAAAGUCUGAAAUGUAUCUCUGGCACCUUUGAUCAAAGAAAGAAGCGUGCACAAUGCUGUUUGUCAGACUGUUUUUACAACUGUCUGUUGUCGUCCCCGCAGGCUCCCAGUGUGGUCGGAUGAGGCAUAAAGAAAAUGCCCGAGCUCCAUCGUUUUCUUCUGGAGCGCUCGGCUUUAUACCACAACCUGGAAUACGAUUCAUCGGAGGAGAAGAAUCCCCGUCUGAUAUUCUAUAACGAAAAGGACGAGGUUGUAAAGACUGUUCCCGUGAAGGAAAUGAAGGCAGACGAGAUCAGCAGCCUGCUGGACUCACUAGGUUUCUACAAGAGGUCCCAGAAAGGGGAAGAGGUGCCAGAGGAGUUCCAGCAUUUCCCCCUGCUCCCCCCCAGGGACGAGCUGUGAUGACACCUUGUGGCCGAACUCUGCCGCUGCACCCCGGUCACAUUAAUGACGAGUGGGGCCCCAAGGCCAAAACGAUAAGCCAGGCACCAUUCUGAGAACUCGCUGACUGGGUGCGGUGUGCAGCGUGUUAGUCAUUGCUGUGUCACUCUGUUUAUAUACUUUCAAUAAAAAGCUUCA
rnacentral:lncRNA from 1 species